rnacentral:lncRNA from 1 species
AUGUUAGGGGUCUAUAUUAGUUACAGUGUCAUCGUCUCCAGGAGUGCCCAAACCGUGAACAGCACCAUCACCAUGUCUGCCUCAGAAUACAAGAACAGCAGCGUGGAGUGUGUCAGCAGAAAUGUAAUUGGCCAGAUCGAGAUGGAAUUCCCCAUACUACACCAAGCUGAAGGGAGCCUGACACAUAUCCCUGGGUCAGAGAAGAGGGAUGUUGCAGUCUUUCCCUGGAUAAUCGUUGGCUUGUCCCUCAGCCUUAAUGUGGCCCUCCUUGUCUAUCUGACCAGCGCUUGUAAAUGGUAAGAAAACAUUACAAUCCCACAGUUUCAUACAUGAGGACAUACGACAUAAAUUCAGGUGGCAUAAAAUGCUUAUCAUUGUUAUACUGAGCUUUUUUUUAUAAAAAAGUUAAGCAAGGUACGACUGUCUGAGCAAGAUAAAUUCAGCGUUGGAAAAUGUACCCAAAUCUCAUACUUGAGUAAAAGUAAAGAUACCUUCAUAGAAAAUGACUCAAGUAAAGUACUACUUGAGUAAAAGUCUAAAAGUAUUUGGUUUUAAAUAUACUUAAGUGUCAAAAGUAAAAGCCCUCUCGAGUGGCGCAGUGGUCUAAGGCACUGCAUCGCAGUAUUAGUUGUGCCACUAGAGAUUCUGCGUUCAAGAGCAGGCUCUGGCACAGCUGGCUGUGACCGGGAGACCCAUGGGGCGGCGCACAACUGGGCCAGCGUCGCCUGGGUUAGGGCUUUGGCCGGCUGGGAUGUCCUUGUCCCAACACGCACUAGUGAUUCCUUUGGUGGACCAGGUGCAGUGCACGCUGACACAGUAGCCAGGUGUACGGUGUUUCCUCUGACACAUUGGUGCGGCUGGCUUCCGGGUUAAGUUGGCAUUCUGUCAAGAAGCAGUGCAGCUUGUUUGGGUUAUGUUUUGGAGGAUGCACGGUUCUUGACCUUCACCUGAGUCUGUACUUUUGGAUAGCACAAUUGGAUAGCACAUAAAAGGGUUCAAAAAUAUAUAUUUAAAGUACAAACACAUCUAAAAUUCAUUAUAUUAAGCAAACCAGGCCGCACAAUUGUCUUGUUUUCUUUAUUUACGGAUAGCCAGGGUCACACUCCAACACUCAGACAUAAUUUACAAACAAAGCAUUUGUGUUUUAGUGAGUCCGCCAGAUCAGUGGCAGUAGGGAUGACCAGAGAUGUUCUCUUGAUAAGUGUGCGAAUUUGACAAUUUUCUGUCCUGCUAAGCAUUCAAAAUGUAACUAGUCCUUUUGGGGGUCAGGGAAAAUGUAUGGAGUAAAAGUACAUAAUUUCCUUUAGGAAUGUAGUGAAGUAAAAGUAAAAGUCGUCAAAAAUAUGAACACUAAAGUAAAGUACAGAUACCCCCAAAAAGUAGUACUUUAAAGUAUUUUUUACUUCAGUGCUCUAGACCACUGGGUAAAUUAUAAUCCAGGAAAGCUUUUUAGCUCUGUUUGGCUAACUGAAAGUUGCAACUAGAGAAUGCCUAACCUCUCUAACCGACUAGCGGAGAGUUGACAGUUCUAAUGCCUGGUCCGAUGGGAAAAGUCUGGUGGAAAGUCAACUAGCAACCGGAGGGUUGCUGGUAUCAAAUCCUUGAUGCCAUUGCCUGCGGUUGUGUCCUUGAAAAUCGCCACAAAACAACAGCUCCCCAAACAACAGCCCCCGUACAGUUCCAGCUAAGCAGACUAACGUUAUAUAGCUAAUUAAUUUGCUAGCUAUCAUGCAGUAGGCGUAUAUUAAUAAUGAUAUAUUUAAUAUAAGUACACAUGCACUCGUAAUUGACUGUAGUGCAUAUACAGUAAAGCACCCACAAGCUACCGAUGGCUGAAAACACAAUCAUCGCGGGACGAACGAGUGACAAAUUUCCGGCCAAGGGUGGUCCAUUUAAAAAUCCUCCCUUCAUCCCUCGCCCCUUUCCCUGCAAGUGUAUACUCGUCAGACGUCAUAAUACGUCAUUAGAAGUGUCCACUUAAUUUGAAGGCUGAGAGGAUAGGAUUUGUCUUUUAAGUGUUCGGACUACAGGCCAUAUCCCCUCAGCCCUCCAAUUACACUUACAGGGCAAGGGGCGAGGAAGGAAGGAAUUAUUCUUAAAAACUUCUUGAUGCACCCAUCCCGUUCGCGGAAUCAUUUUCGUCAGCAUCUGCUGAAUUUCAGAGCUCC